rnacentral:rRNA from 1 species
GAUGAACGCUGGCGGCGUGCCUAAUACAUGCAAGUCGAGCGAACGGACGAGAAGCUUGCUUCUCUGAUGUUAGCGGCGGACGGGUUAGUAACACGUGGAUAACCUACCUAUAAGACUGGGAUAACUUCGGGAAACCGGAGCUAAUACCGGAUAAUAUUUUGAACCGCAUGGUUCAAAAUUGAAAGACGGUCUUGCUGUCACUUAUAGAUGGAUCCGCGCUGCAUUAGCUAGUUGGUAAGGUAACGGCUUACCAAGGCAACGAUGCAUAGCCGACCUGAGAGGGAGGAGGGACACCCGGGAACAGAGAAACGGUCGAGACUCCUACGGGAGGCAGCAGUAGGGAAUCUUACGCAAUGGGCGAAAGCCUGACGGAGCAACGCCGCGGGAGGGAUGAAGGUCUUAGGAUCGGAAAACUCUGUUAGUAGGGAAGAACAAAUGUGUAAGUAACUGUGCACAUCUUGACGGUACCUAAUCAGAAAGCCACGGCUAACUACGUG